GGACGAACGCUGGCGGCGUGCUUAACACAUGCAAGUCACGGGGGGCUCGGCAAGGGCAACCGGCGAACGGGUGCGUAACACGUGAGCAACCUGCCGAUCUGAGGGGGAUAGCCGGCCCAACGGCCGGGUAAUACCGCAUACGUUCUUGUGGCCUCAUGGCUAUGAGAAGAAACCUCGGGGCAGAUCGAGGGGCUCGCGGCCUAUCAGCUAGUUGGCGGUGUAAUGGACCACCAAGGCGACGACGGGUAGCUGGUCUGAGAGGAUGGCCAGCCACAUUGGGACUGAGAGACGGCCAGACUCCUACGGGAGGCAGCAGUGGGGAAUCUUGCGCAA
rnacentral:rRNA from 1 species